rfam:Oryza sativa (indica cultivar-group) chromosome 6, whole genome shotgun sequence.
CUUUAAAAUUCUGGUUCAAGCUGAAAUUUGAAACGACACACAUAUUAUGUGUGUUCGAGUCUCUCAAAUUUUCGCAAACCGAUGAUGAAUCGAAAGAAACAUCUUCGG